rnacentral:rRNA from 1 species
UCGAUUUGAGUUUGAUCCUGGCUCAGAUUGAACGCUGGCGGCAUGCCUAACACAUGCAAGUCGAACGGCAGCACAGCUUAAGCUUGCUUAAGUGGGUGGCGAGUGGCGGACGGGUGAGUAAUGCAUCGGGACCUACCUGAACGUGGGGGAUAACGUAGGGAAACUUACGCUAAUACCGCAUACGUCCUACGGGAGAAAGCGGGGGACCUUCGGGCCUCGCGCGGUCAGACGGACCGAUGUUCGAUUAGCUAGUUGGUAAGGUAAUGGCUUACCAAGGCGACGAUCGAUAGCUGGUCUGAGAGGAUGAUCAGCCAC